rnacentral:sRNA from 1 species
UCUUGGUAUUUAAUUGUUGACAAUUUCUAACAAUAAACUCUUCGAUCAUGCAGUUCCGGCUAAAAUUUUGAACAACGCCUCCACGGAUGCCAUAAUUGCUCGAGAGGGAGCCACUGUGACCAUCGUCUGCAACGCCAGCGGCAUCCCGCCUCCCACCAUCACUUGGCACCGCAUCAGCAGAAGCGACAAGGUUGAAGAUAAAAAGAGUGAGUCCUUCUGCCAUGGCACAAAUACCAUUGGCUCCACGGGGGAAAUUCUCAUCAUCUACAACGUGAGCCGCCAUUGUGGAGGGAUCUACGAGUGUGUCGCCUCAAACGAUGUUCCACCGGCGGUCAACAAACUUAUUAGAGUUAAUGUCGAAUUCCCACCUGAAAUCUAUUUGCCAAACUCUGAGCUUGGUCAUGACGUGGGCAAAGAGACAGUUCUGGAGUGUAGCAUCACCGCCAACCCUCAAGCUACUGCCUAUUGGAAGAGAAACGGAACCGAGCUUAAGACCAC